rnacentral:rRNA from 1 species
GGUUGAUCCUGCCAGUAGUCAUAUGCUUGUCUCAAAGAUUAAGCCAUGCAUGUCUAAGUAUAAGCACUUUAUACAGCGAAACUGCGAACGGCUCAUUAAAUCAGUCAUCAUGUACUCGGCAGUUGCGUUACUACACGGAUACCUGUGGUAAUUCUAGAGCUAAUACGUGCGCUUGUGCGGGGGCAACCCCGCAGGCAUUUAUUGGAUAAAAGACCAACAUUCACUUGGUGAGUCACAGUAACUUAGCGGACCGCAGGGCUUCCAAUGCCGGCGGCGUGCCGAUCCAAUUU